UAUUACCCUCCCCAACUGAUAUGGAAGCAGGUAUCUUUAUCCUUAGACCAUCCCCUCGGGAAGGGAGAAUGGUGCUCUUCCCCAUCACUGGGCUGGGCAAACUGAGGAAGCAGCGAGCAAAGGGGUGGUCCCACAUUCCUCCCUUCCUCUCACGCCAGCACCAAAGACUGAGCCCCGGAUUUCUGUCAUCCCACUUCCAAGCCGGCUGGUCCAGCGAGAAGAAUCCAACUCCAGCUCCUUUCUGCAGAGACGCACACGGACCCAGACACCGCCCGGCCCUAUCUCCCUGGAGCUGCAGAGACAAGAACUGGACGGCUACACAGAAAGCUGAUACCUGUAGACAAAUGUCAGCCAAUCAGAGUCCUGAACCCUGAAAAUUCCCUCCCCCCCAACCUCUGCUAUGAUAAAAAAAACCCCACCCUACCCAGGCUCAGGGCUCUCUGCUCUCAUCCCUUCGUCAGAGAGACCAAGCCUCGGAUCUUGAAGAUAAUAAAGGCUCUUUGCUUCUACAUACAG